GACGAACGCUGGCGGCGUGCUUAACACAUGCAAGUCGAACGGAAAGGCCCUGCUUUUGUGGGGUGCUCGAGUGGCGAACGGGUGAGUAACACGUGAGUAACCUGCCCUUGACUUUGGGAUAACUUCAGGAAACUGGGGCUAAUACCGGAUAGGAGCUCCUACUGCAUGGUGGGGGUUGGAAAGUUUCGGCGGUUGGGGAUGGACUCGCGGCUUAUCAGCUUGUUGGUGGGGUAGUGGCUUACCAAGGCUUUGACGGGUAGCCGGCCUGAGAGGGUGACCGGCCACAUUGGGACUGGGAUACGGCCCAGACUCCUACGGGAGGCAGCAGUGGGGAAUAUUGCACGAUGGGCGGAAGCCUGAUGCAGCAACGCCGCGUGCGGGAUGACGGCCUUCGGGUUGUAAACCGCUUUCGCCUGUGACGAGGCGUGAGUGACGGUAAUGGGUAAAGAAGCACCGGCUAACUACGUG
rnacentral:rRNA from 1 species